UAGAGUAGGUAUUGCGCGUUAAGUACCAUAGGAUGGGAUGUUGCCUAUGGGCGAAGGCUUAGCCGCGGUGCAAUGCCGCGUCCGCUA
rnacentral:ncRNA from 1 species